UAGUACUGCGAGUGAGCGGGAAAAGCUCAAAUUUAAAAUCUGGUGGUCUUUGGCCAUCCGAGUUGUAAUCUAGAGAAGUGUUAUCCGCGCUGGACCGUGUACAAGUCCCCUGGAAUGGGGCGUCAUAGAGGGUGAGAAUCCCGUCUUUGACACGGACUAACAGGGCUUUGUGAUGCACUCUCAAAGAGUCGAGUUGUUUGGGAAUGCAGCUCAAAAUGGGUGGUAAAUUCCAUCUAAAGCUAAAUAUUGGCGAGAGACCGAUAGCGAACAAGUACCGUGAGGGAAAGAUGAAAAGAACUUUGGAAAGAGAGUUAAACAGUACGUGAAAUUGUUGAAAGGGAAACGCUUGAAGUCAGUCGCGUCUGCCAGGGAUCAACCUUACUUUUGUGAGGCGUACUUCCUGGUUGAUGGGUCAGCAUCAGUUUUGGUCGCUGGAUAAAGGUCAGAGAAAUGUGGCACCUUCGGGUGUGUUAUAGUCUUUGAUCAGAUACAGUGGCUGGGACUGAGGAACUCAGCGCCGCAAGGCUGUCUUAGGAUGCUGGCAAAAUGGCUUUAAACGACCCGUCUUGAACA
rnacentral:rRNA from 1 species